UUCUAUGGAUACAAUGAUAAUCUAUCUCAUCAGGUGUCCUAGAGGGUAUGCUAGUGGAGGCAGAAUGUUCAGUGUUGGAAGAGGUAGUUGGGUUGGACCCGUUAUCAACUUCGGUAGUACUUUCACCUAUGGCUGAGAUUAACCCUAAUGUGGUGAGCCAGAACCGCAUUUGGUUCUGCCACCUCCUAAAGUUAUGGCCAUCAAAUUUUUCAGGUUUGGCACUA
rnacentral:lncRNA from 1 species